CGGGGUGAGUAAUGUCUGGGAAACUGCCUGAUGGAGGGGGAUAACUACUGGAAACGGUAGCUAAUACCGCAUAACGUCGCAAGACCAAGAGGGGGACCUUAGGGCCUCUUGCCAUCGGAUGUGCCCAGAUGGGAUUAGCUAGUAGGUGGGGUAAUGGCUCACCUAGGCGACGAUCCCUAGCUGGUCUGAGAGGAUGACCAGCCACACUGGAACUGAGACACGGUCCAG
rnacentral:rRNA from 1 species